rnacentral:rRNA from 1 species
AGAGUUUGAUUCUGGCUCAGAACGAACGCUGGCGGCAGGCUUAACACAUGCAAGUCGAACGGUCUCUUCGGAGGCAGUGGCAGACGGGUGAGUAACGCGUGGGAACAUACCUUUCGGUACGGAACUACAGUUGGAAACGACUGCUAAUACCGUAUACGCCCUGAGGGGGAAAGAUUUAUCGCCGAGAGAUUGGCCCGCGUUGGAUUAGCUAGUUGGUGGGGUAAUGGCCUACCAAGGCGACGAUCCAUAGCUGGUCUGAGAGGAUGAUCAGCCACACUGGGACUGAGACACGGCCCAGACUCCUACGGGAGGCAGCAGUGGGGAAUAUUGGACAAUGGGCGCAAGCCUGAUCCAGCCAUGCCGCGUGAGUGAUGAAGGCCUUAGGGUUGUAAAGCUCUUUCGCCGGUGAAGAUAAUGACGGUAACCGGUAAAGAAGCCCCGGCUAACUUCGUGCCAGCAGCCGCGGUAAUACGAAGGGGGCUAGCGUUGUUCGGAAUUACUGGGCGUAAAGCGCACGUAGGCUGACUUUUAAGUCAGGGGUGAAAUCCCGGGGCUCAACCUCGGAACUGCCUUUGAUACUGGAAGUCUUGAGUCCGAGAGAGGUGAGUGGAACUCCGAGUGUAGAGGUGAAAUUCGUAGAUAUUCGGAAGAACACCAGUGGCGAAGGCGGCUCACUGGCUCGGUACUGACGCUGAGGUGCGAAAGCGUGGGGAGCAACAGGAUUAGAUACCCUGGUAGUC